rnacentral:sRNA from 11 species
GGUUUAAUUACCCAAGUUUGAGGUAAUUGAGUGUUUCGGCCCAGAGUUUCGGCUUCUGUGGCUUGAAGAAAAAUUUUGGAACGUCCUGCUAUAUAGCGGGACAAC